GACGUAGGGCGCGAGCGUUGUCCGGAUUUAUUGGGCGUAAAGAGCUCGUAGGCGGCUUGUCGCGUCGUCCGUGAAAACCUGCAGCUCAACUGCAGGCUUGCGGUCGAUACGGGCAGGCUGGAGUUCGGUAGGGGAGACUGGAAUUCCCGGUGUAGCGGUGAAAUGCGCAGAUAUCAGGAGGAACACCGGUGGCGAAGGCGGGUCUCUGGGCCGAUACUGACGCUGAGGAGCGAAAGCGUGGGGAGCGAACAGG
rnacentral:rRNA from 1 species